GACGUAAACGGUUCAAUAGGAAUUAACGUGGCGAAUGAACACGAAUCAUGAAUUGGGAUGAUUCUCCAUGAAUUGGUUCAAUUCGAUUCGAAACAUCACAUAUUGGGUGUUGACAAUCCGAGAAUGGGACUGCCAAGUUGGUAAGGUAGAAAUUGGAGAGUAAUGUCAGUUGCAUUUCGAAACGCAUACUGUUCCCGACGCUCAUAUCGCGGCUGUCUCAUCAUCGUUUAUCUUCUACUCGGUCAUCGCGUAAGUUGUGCAUCGUCAUCUUGCUUUCGUGAUGGCAAGUGGACGAAAACGUACCACUCCUGAACCCGCCGCACACGACUUUGAGGCUGCACUGCAUCGACUCUCCGCUGCAUCUGCUGACGGUUUCGCCGCCCUAAGGAAGACUGUAAAGGAAGAAACUGCGAGGUUGCCCUCAUUCAACCCGCCACCCUUCCGCCGUUCCCGUUCCCGGGAACGGCGGAAGUUUUACCGUCCACUUGGUUGCUGGUCAAGGCGGCAGCGACAAAAUGAUUAUUCAAACCGAGUGGUAAACUGGUCCAGGAUGCGCUACAGAGUUUGCAGGCGGAUACAGCAGCCAUGGUGCCAAAUGUGGACCAGCUUCAGCGAGUGGCCAAUCGCGCUAGGGAAACACAGACCAAAGCAUCCAUCCAUCCACAGUAGGUUUUGAGCUCAACAUGGCUCAUGUUGCCGAAGACUCUUUGGUAGCAGACUUGAGAUAUGAUCAACAAAGAGCACUGAUUUUGGCGACGCCUUUACAGUUGGAAUAUCUAUCGAAAGCUAAAGUAUGGUACGUCGACGGGACCUUCAAAGUGGUAAAGGAACCCUUUGUACAAAUGCUGUCCUUGCAUACGUUCAUAAGGAGUGGCGAAAACGAGAUGCAAGUGCCACUUUGUUUCAUCGUAAUGUCACGACGGAUGAAGGCUGAUUACAAAGCAGGGCAAGCUACGGAGGUGUCGCAGAAAGACGGCAAUGUGUAAACAAGAGCGAUUACACGCCCUAUGGAAAGGCUACGCCAGUGGUGACAUCCCUACUUCUGCAUACCUACAACAGUGCAGUACAUUAAUGGAUCGUUGUGAAGAUUGAGAGGUUAAUCUUUUGGAUACUUUGUAACUGUUACGAUCUAUUGUACCAAUUAAUUACUACCACUGCCACUAUCAGUCAAUAAAGUUUUUAUUGU